rnacentral:rRNA from 1 species
AUUGAACGCUGGCGGCAUGCCUUACACAUGCAAGUCGAACGGCAGCACGGGGGCAACCCUGGUGGCGAGUGGCGAACGGGUGAGUAACAUAUCGGAACAUACCCUAGAGUGGGGGAUAACGUAGCGAAAGUUACGCUAAUACCGCAUACGAUCUAAGGAUGAAAGUGGGGGAUCUUCGGACCUCAUGCUCAUGGAGUGGCCGAUAUCUGAUUAGCUAGUUGGUGAGGUAAAGGCUCACCAAGGCGACGAUCAGUAGCUGGUUUGAGAGAACGACCAGCCACACUGGAACUGAGACACGGUCCAGACUCCUACGGGAGGCAGCAGUGGGAAUUUUGGACAAUGGGGGCAACCCUGAUCCAGCAAUGCCGCGUGAGUGAAGAAGGCCUUCGGGUUGUAAGACUCUUUGUACAGGGAAGAAACGGUGAGUUCUAAUAC